GCUUACGGCCAUACCAGCCUGAAUACGCCCGAUCUCGUCUGAUCUCGGAAGCUAAGCAGGGUCGGGCCUGGUUAUACUUGGAUGGGAGACCGCCUGGGAAUACCAGGUGCUGUAAGCA
rnacentral:rRNA from 1 species